CUUGUAGCUUUCGGGCACUGAGUCCAUGGCGAUGGGGCUGGGGUGGCCUCAAGCAAAGCAGACUGCUCCAGAGCGGCCUAGCAUUGCCCUUUGUCCUUGGGCCUCGCUCCAAGGCAUCGGGGACGGGAGUGCGGAGGUCAGGACCUUUGGGGAGAUGCGGGCCCGGCGGGCACAGGUGCUGUGCGGUCACUCCAGGAGUUUGUUCCGCCGGAAUCUAUGGUGACCCUCCUGUGUCCUGUCCUUCAUGACCCUGAUCUGGCUGCUCCUGCCCUGGAGGCCCCGUUCUGCCUGUUCCCCUUUGCCGCCCCCACCUCCCCCCUGCCUCCUUCCCUCCCCUCCUCAUGAGGUGAUGGCCAGACCUCUCGAAGGCCUCCCCAGCUCAGCCACAAAAAGCCCAAGAACUAGGACGCCUGCCUGCCGUCCUCCAGAUCAAGGGCACCUUUGUGCCCGGCAGCCUGGCCGCAGCCCCGCUCCACCGUGGGCCUGCCCUGCCCCCACUGGGAGGAGGAUUUGCAAGAACGUGUGUUCCUUGGGCCCCCCGCCCCGGGAGUGCUUGGGAGGAAAGGACCGGCAGCUCCCCCCGCCCGCAGGGUGCUCCGGUACCAGCCACGGUCUGGACAUGAGCACAAGGAACCAGCUCUUCUGCUUUGCCUUUAGUCUUUCCUUGUGUUGAAGAGUCAGACUGGCAAUAAAAUGCACUUGGACUGUCGUCACUGCCCUACCAUGAGGGGCCGCGCCUGGGCUGUCAUUUCUCCAGGGCCGGGACGUGCACCGCAGGGCAGGGACCCACUUAGUUGCUGCAGGCCACCGGCAUUGGUGGAACAAAGACCAUGCAGGUCAGGGCAGAGAAAGAUCAACUUGGGUGGCUUCCACCGCAUGUGGCCUCAGAGGAGAGUCUCACUCCCUGUGCCCGGGGUUUCCCAGAGCAUGAAGUGGGGCCCUGUCCCCCUCCGGACCAGUAUGCGGUGUGGGUGGGGUGAAGUGCUUUGAAAACUUCAUAAACAGGGCGAUGGAACCGGGGCCUGGUUCUCGUUUCUAAGGGAAACCAGCUUCAGGAAAGACUUUCAAGCAGACGACUGGCUCCACCACAUGCAACCAGUGAAAACUGGCACGAGUCCACUUACUCGAGACACAGAAAGGUUAGCUGGUUCUGAAAGCAUGUCCUCAGUGAGCAAAUCUUUUAACUGGAGACCCCAAACAAGAAGCCCCGCAUCUGAUCUCAUCACGCCCCCUACCACCGGGCCUGCCUCCCUGACGACCUCACAAGCACGGGGGGCCCGGAGAAGGGAGCCAGUGUCCUCACCAAGUGUGGCUGUAAGCUCUCUGCCACAAAUUCUCAAACGAGCACACGGAUUUCUCCAGAAAGGCUUUCCUCCUCGUCCCGGGAAAGCCCCAGCGGUGCCUCGGGCGCAUCCUCCCCGUGCAGUGAUGUGCAGGGAAUGGCAUCCCGUAGGAGGGCUUCACGGGGCUGUUCUCCGUGCUCGCCUUCCGACCAGUGCAACGAGGAAGGUCCUUCCCAGAUGCCCAGGCCCUGGCACACGGUCCAACCCAGGGGGUACAGAGGGAACCGGCAGGGUCUCUCCAGCCUCGAGAGGGGAGCAGCAAGUAAGUCUGGGGUGGUGGGAGGGGUCCUCUUCUCCAGGACGAAAUGUCACCCACUCAGUUCGAUCACUUAUUUGCAACAAGCCAAGAAUGUCCGUCACUUCCCUCGGCGAUGCAGUCUGUGCCGGCGACCGUGCGGUCAGGGCCAGGGCGAGACCAAGGCCAGAGGGCAACCACGGCCGCAGUGUAGCCACACUGUGACACAGGAGCAGUGUACUACCUUUUCGUGAACACGAGUGAAGGGCAGGAGGUGGGAAACAAGAGAGCCUUUUAUCCUGUCCGUGCCAGGGACCUUGGUCAAGGCAGACGCUUCAAGGAUGGUGGGUGGCUUUUUAACUUCGACGCACAAGGCAGCUUCGCGGUCGGAAUUCUGAUCAGUGAUACUCUAGAACCACACAUAUCAUGAACAUCCCGGGAUAAAUAAAGGACAGAACUCGUUGUUAA